rnacentral:tmRNA from 1 species
GGGGGUGAUUCGGAUUCGACGCCGGUAUCAACACCUGUAGUGCAUGUCGAGAGGGUAGUAACUCUCGUUAAUAAAUUACUGCAACUUUUUAGUUGCCAACGACGAUAGAUACGCUCUAGCAGCUUAAUAUAGCCGCUAGCGAUUGCCACUAGGAUGCCCGUAAACAAGUGUUUUGCAAUCGUCAUAUAGAACGGGAUCGCAGUGCGAUGUGUCUGGCAUCAAUCUGUUAAAUUUUUCCAGGCUCGCCCUAUUCGCCCUGCCCGUCGGGUAGAUACGGGCUAACUCAAUAGACGACGCUAAACAUGUAGAUCUCUAGGCCGCGAGCUGACGGACGGGGGUUCAAAUCCCCCCGCCUCCACCA